rnacentral:siRNA from 1 species
GCGACAAGGACUUUGGGUUCGUCA